UGGGGAAUAUUGCGCAAUGGGGGAAACCCUGACGCAGCAACGCCGCGUGAGUGAUGAAGGCCUUCGGGUCGUAAAGCUCUGUCAGGUGGGAAGAGAAAGGACGGUACCACCAAAGGAAGCACCGGCUAACUCCGUGCCAGCAGCCGCGGUAAUACGGAGGGUGCAAGCGUUGUUCGGAAUUAUUGGGCGUAAAGCGCGUGUAGGCGGUCUAUUAAGUCAGGUGUGAAAGCCCUUGGCUCAACCAAGGAGGGUCAUCUGAAACUAAUAGACUUGAGUACGGGAGAGGAGAGCGGAAUUCCCAGUGUAGAGGUGAAAUUCGUAGAUAUUGGGAGGAACACCGGUGGCGAAGGCGGCUCUCUGGACCGAUACUGACGCUGAGACGCGAAAGCGUGGGGAGCAAACAGGAUUAGAUACCCUGGUAGUCCACGCUGUAAACUAUGGGCACUAGGUGUGGAGGGUAUUGACCCCUUCCGUGCCGGAGCUAACGCAUUAAGUGCCCCGCCUGGGAAGUACGGCCGCAAGGCUA
rnacentral:rRNA from 1 species